rnacentral:rRNA from 1 species
GUGCCAGCAGCCGCGGUAAUACGGAGGGUGCAAGCGUUAUCCGGAUUCACUGGGUUUAAAGGGAGCGUAGGUGGACUUUUAAGUCAGUGGUGAAAUCUCUGGGCUUAACCCGGAAACUGCCAUUGAUACUAUUAGUCUUGAAUUCUCUGGAGGUAAGCGGAAUAUGUCAUGUAGCGGUGAAAUGCUUAGAUAUGACAUAGAACACCCAUUGCGAAGGCAGCUUACUACGGAGACAUUGACACUGAGGCUCGAAAGCGUGGGGAUCAAACAGGAUUAGAUACCCUGGUAGUCC